rnacentral:tRNA from 2 species
GCGGGUGUAGCUCAGGGGUAGAGCGCUACCUUGCCAAGGUCGAAGUCGAGAGUUCGAAUCUCUUCACCCGCUCCA